ACACUCCUGCGGGAGGCAGCAGUGGGGAAUUUUGGACAAUGGGCGAAAGCCUGAUCCAGCCAUGCCGCGUGCAGGAUGAAGGCCUUCGGGUUGUAAACUGCUUUUGUACGGAACGAAACGGCCUUUUCUAAUAAAGAGGGCUAAUGACGGUACCGUAAGAAUAAGCACCGGCUAAUUACGUGCCAGCAGCCGCGGUAAUACGUAGGGUGCAAGCGUUAAUCGGAAUUACUGGGCGUAAAGCGUGCGCAGGCGGUUAUGUAAGACAGUUGUGAAAUCCCCGGGCUCAACCUGGGAACUGCAUCUGUGACUGCAUAGCUAGAGUACGGUAGAGGGGGAUGGAAUUCCGCGUGUAGCAGUGAAAUGCGUAGAUAUGCGGAGGAACACCGAUGGCGAAGGCAAUCCCCUGGACCUGUACUGACGCUCAUGCACGAAAGCGUGGGGAGCAAACAGGAUUAGAAACCCUUGUAGUCCCAUG
rnacentral:rRNA from 1 species